GAUGAAGAACGCAGCGAAAUGCGAUAAUUAAUGUGAAUUGUAGAAUUCCGUGAAUCAUCGAGUCUUUGAACGCACAUUGCGCCUCAUGGCAUUCCGUGAGGCAUGCCCAUCUCAGCGUUAGAAAAUAUUCUCAAAUUUUAGUUUUGUGCUAAAAUUUGGAUCAUGUCAAAGAAGCUAUUACUAUUAUUGUGAUCGCUCUUUGGAAAUUGAUAGGUCUUUGAGUUGCUACUCAUAGAACGUGAUGAAUCUUUCUUCGUUCUAUUGUAAUUCACUCUGGUAGUCCUAAAACUUGUAUGCCUGUGGCAUAUCUUGUAAUUUGACCUGAGAUUGGGUAGGGAUACCCGCUGAACUUAAGCAUAUCAAUAAGCGGAGGA
rnacentral:misc_RNA from 1 species